rnacentral:rRNA from 1 species
UUAUAUGGUCAAGAAGAGAAGCGCAAACGGUGGAUGCCUUGGCAGUAAGAGGCGAAGAAGGACGUGGAAUCCUGCGAAAAGCUAUGGGGAGCUGGAAACGAGCGUUGAGCCAUAGAUGUCCGAAUGGGGGAACCCGGCUGCAGCGAUGCGGUCAUUUGCAUUUGAAUACAUAGGAUGCAAAGGCGAACUCGGGGAACUGAAACAUCUAAGUACCCGAAGGAAAAGAAAUCAAGAGAGAUUCUCCAAGUAGCGGCGAGCGAACGGGGAGGAGCCUGGCGUGAUUUAUUAUUGAACUGAGUAGAACAAUUUGGGAAAGUUGGCCGAAGAGGGUGAAAGCCCCGUAUACGAAGGUUUGAUGAGGAACUAGGCACGCGAACAAGUAGGCCGGGACACGUGAAAUCCUGGUUGAAGAUGGGUGGACCAUCAUCCAAGGCUAAAUACUACUUACUGACCGAUAGUGAACCAGUACCGUGAGGGAAAGGUGAAAAGAACCCCGGAGAGGGGAGUGAAAUAGAAUCUGAAACCGUUUGCGUACAAGCAGUGGGAGCAUGGUUUAGGCUGUGUGACUGCGUACCUUUUGUAUAAUGGGUCAGCGAGUUACUUUCAGUGGCGAGGUUAACUGAAUAAGGGAGCCGUAGAGAAAUCGAGUCUGAAUAGGGCGAUAGUCGCUGGGAGUAGACCCGAAACCGGGCGAUCUAGCCAUGUGCAGGAUGAAGGUUGGGUAACACCAACUGGAGGUCCGAACCGGGUAAUGUUGAAAAAUUAUCGGAUGACGUGUGGCUAGGAGUGAAAGGCUAAUCAAGCCCGGAGAUAGCUGGUU